AGAGUUUGAUCAUGGCUCAGGACGAACGCUGGCGGCGUGCUUAACACAUGCAAGUCGAGCGGUAAGGCCCUUCGGGGUACACGAGCGGCGAACGGGUGAGUAACACGUGGGUGACCUGCCCUCCACUUCGGGAUAAGCCCGGGAAACUGGGUCUAAUACCGGAUAGGACAUCUUGGUGCAUGCUGGGGUGUGGAAAGUUUUUUCGGUGGGGGGAUGGNNCCCGCGGUCUAUCAGCUUGUUGGUGGGGUGAUGGCCUACCAAGGCGACGACGGAUAGCCGGCCUGAGAGGGUGAUCGGCCACACUGGGACUGAGACACGGCCCAGACUCCUACGGGAGGCAGCAGUGGGGAAUCUUGCGCAAUGGGCGGAAGCCUGACGCAGCAACGCCGCGUGAGGGAUGACGGCCUUCGGGUUGUAAACCUCUUUCGCGAUCGACGAAGGUCCAUUUUUUGGUGGGCUGACGGUAGGUCGAGAAGAAGCACCGGCCAACUACGUGCCAGCAGCCGCGGUAAUACGUAGGGUGCGAGCGUUGUCCGGAAUUAUUGGGCGUAAAGAGCUCGUAGGCGGUGUGUCACGUCGGCCGUGAAAACCUGGGGCUCAACUCUGGGCGUGCGGUCGAUACGGGCAUCACUAGAGUUCGGCAGGGGAGACUGGAAUUCCUGGGUGUAGCGGUGAAAUGCGCAGAUAUCAGGAGGAACACCGGUGGCGAAGGCGGGUCUCUGGGCCGAUACUGACGCUGAGGAGCGAAAGCAUGGGGAGCGAACAGGAUUAGAUACCCUAGUAGUCC
rnacentral:rRNA from 1 species